UUGGACGGCCAGAGCGGAUUGGUUCACCUGUUCCCAUUUCGAACACAGAAGUUAAGCAAUCAUGCGUUCGAGGUUGUACUGCAUUUAUGUGCGGAAACCCUUGGAAGCUGUCCUCU
rnacentral:rRNA from 1 species